rnacentral:lncRNA from 13 species
AUGAAGUUGGGAUUCAGAUCCUACAUUCUACCUGUUAAUGUGGAAUGUAGAAAUGUAGAAUCCUUCCCUCUACACCCCACCGCUUCCGAAGAGUUAACACACCAUGUCGGCUUCACUACUGUGGCUUUAUGGGAAGUCUUUAAAUCAAUUAUUCACUCUCAGUUGUCUGGUCACAUUGCCGCAAACUGCAAAGUGGAAGUGACUGGGAAGAUGGAUGCCCAUCAACUUUUGCCCAGGUGUGUGGGCUCCUGUGUACAUGAUAGACAUUUUAAAUAUGUUGUUCCAAUGUCAUCUGUUCUUAAUGGUUUCUGA